UCCAGAAUAGCCAAUGGGGAUAUCUGGAAAAGCUGACUGAUAUGCCUUGAAUUACAACAAAGUUGAUCUGAAUUAUAAGGAUAUCAAUUUCAGAGUCAUAGAGAGCAAAUGUAACAAUGACUAUAAGUGAAUAUACAGACAACUAGUGUCAUAAAACAAAUGGUUGGCUGUUUAACAGGUAAAUCCUUCUUUCAGUUAACAUGAACUAGCUGCACUGCACUACUGACUAGCCUGAUUUUGUUUAAGGGGUUCACUGGGACAACCAGCAUGAGUAAGGAAGGGUUGGCUCAUUGUACCUUAAAACUUCUCUGGUGCUUUUCCUAGUUAAGUUGUAUCCGUCAGCACCUAAACACCAAAGAUAGUGGGUUACACUAACAAUGUGUCUCUCUGUUCCCAUCCAAGAGUCAACUGGACUGAACCAAUUUAAAAAUUGCUUAUAUAUGCACGAGUAGUCUCACUGAAAACAAUGCAACUACUCGUGCAUUACGUUAUGCAUGUGCUUAAAUAUUUUCCAGUUUUGCAAACAUUUAUUUUCUUACUGCAGUAUCCUUAGUAAUCACAAAUGUCCAUGUGCCUACUACCAACAGGAACAUACUAUCUCAGGGAACAGAUGCAUUUUAGUCACAUUCUUGCUUUUCAUUGGAAAUAUUUUUAAUUAAAAGUUUUCUGACCUGACCUACUAUCUAGGUUCUUAGUGUCUGAUUGCCUACACAUUUUUGUUUUAUGCCACGUUAGAGUGCAGGCACAAGAUAAUAUUUCCAUGCAUAUUUCACACCCAGCACUGUUUAAGUGUGCAUAUAUCGACUGAUAAUAAAUAAAUCAAAUUUCUUGAUGCCACAUUCUGCCAAUCAGGGCUCCAGCAGAAGCUUUUACUUUGAUCCUUAGGGGAACUAGAAAAAUAUGAUAUUUUCUGCCCUCCCAGCAACAAAUACGAGCAUCACCAAGAUCUAGGAAUCUAAGUAAAAAUGCAUUAUUUCAUCUGUGCCCUGCCUUCUCUAUACACUGUACAUUACAUAUGAUUCACUGACCGUUAUCACAUGGAGGUUGACAUCUUCAGGCUGAAGAGGGUAAGCACUGGUGCACUGGAGAAUGCAGAAGUUGGGAUUGAUCGGUUUCACAAGCUGAUAAACCUUGUGCAUUGUGUCCAUUGACUGCAUCCCACUGGAAAUUACCAUUGGGCGACCUAGCCGGUAAAACAAACAGGGUCAUUUUUCUCCCAAGGCUUCAUGACUUAAGGCUAAUCUAUAUAUGGAAGUUGCACUGGUUUAACAUAAGAUGUGAAUUUAAACAAAUUCGGUUAAACUAGUGCAAAAUGUUGACUACUGCUAUUUCAGUGCAAGAAUAGCUUAUUUUGAUGUAGCUGAAACUUGUUCCAAAAUGAUUUAAGCUAAAGCAAUAUAAGGCUGGUUAAACUAAACUAAGUGUGUCCACAUAGCCUUUUGUACCAGUUUAACUAAAUCAGUUUAAAAAAAAAAAUCACACCUUUAAUUAAACAAGUGCAACUGUGUGUGUAGUGAAUCCCUUAGGUGUCAUAGCUACUAGAUCACCGCACCUAAGCAUUUGUCAAGAAUUUUAUUUUGCUGUCUGAAAUUAGUUAAACUAGAAAGAAUGUUA